GUGGGGAAUAUUGGACAAUGGGCGAAAGCCUGAUCCAGCCAUGCCGCGUGUGUGAAGAAGGUCUUCGGAUUGUAAAGCACUUUAAGUUGGGAGGAAGGGUAGUAACCUAAUACGUUGCUACUUUGACGUUACCGACAGAAUAAGCACCGGCUAACUUCGUGCCAGCAGCCGCGGUAAUACGAAGGGUGCAAGCGUUAAUCGGAAUUACUGGGCGUAAAGCGCGCGUAGGUGGUUCAGUAAGUUGGAAGUGAAAUCCCCGGGCUCAACCUGGGAACUGCUUUCAAAACUGCAUGACUAGAGUACGGUAGAGGGUAGUGGAAUUUCCUGUGUAGCGGUGAAAUGCGUAGAUAUAGGAAGGAACACCAGUGGCGAAGGCGACUACCUGGACUGAUACUGACACUGAGGUGCGAAAGCGUGGGGAGCAAACAGGAUUAGAUACCCUGGUAGUCC
rnacentral:rRNA from 1 species